GGUUUUGGCCACCAUUCUUCAUAGUUGAAUGCGUUUUCCCUCCAAUUGUGUACUUCAAUAAAGAGUUCACUGUGAAGUGAGAUCCUUUCAAAUCCACAGGAACUGCACCGAGCUACCAGGGUUCCUUCUUGGAAUCCUCUCAGUGUGGCUUAUGAGCUGACACAGCCUACCCUACCCUUCUCCAUUAAUUCAGGGAAAUACUGAUUUAGGAAUGGACAGAAAUGUCCACUAUGCCAGCAUCACUGAUACAUGCCUUAUCUGUUGCUGUAAGGAUUUUCCCAAGUCCCCAAAGAAAAAUUAACUGAAUCAGAAAUGUAUAACUUUUUUGUGACUUCUUGCAAAUGUUGCCAAUGUAAAUGUUGUCGGACUAUGCCACCUUUAUCAAUACUAGAUCCUGUCACUUGAAAGCAUUUAUUAAUUUAGUAAGCAUAAAUGACACCUUAUUUACAUUUCUUAGGUGACUGGUUCCCCUGUUGUUUGCUUACUCUGUCAUUGGCCUGUGCUCUUUGUUCACAUUUGAUUACCUGGCUUUGUUAGUUUGCUUAGUUUUUUUGAGACAGCUGCUCUCUGUAGCCCUGGCUGUCCUGGAACUAGCUCUGUAGACCAGGCUAGCAUUGUAUUCAGAGAUUUGCCUGCCUCUGACUCCCUAGUGCAGUACCAGGAUUAAAGGUGAGCUUAGGAAUAAGGCAGGCACUGUGCAUGCCAGACAGCACUGCACCCCACACUAAAGCUCCGGCCCACUUGAAAUGUGGUGGAGCUAUAGUGUCAACUCGAGUCUGAAUGCCGGCCCCUAAUUUACAUGCUGCACAGUUCUGGACAAGUUGCCUAAUAUUUCUGUGCCUUAAAUCAAAAGAAAGUGAUGGAGUCAGCAGUUUCACCCGCCUAGUGUUCUGAGGCAUAAGUAUAUAUGCAUAUAACAAUCUCUUUGCACAGUCACUUCUGAGAGUAAAUAGCAGGCAGCAAGUAAAAUAUAAAUAUACAUGUGCUUAUUUAAAUUAUGGCUAGGAAUAUAGCUAAGUGGCAGAACAUUUGCUUUGCAUGCAUGAGGUCCUAGGUGUAAUCCUGUCACUAACAAAGAAAGAAAGAACACCAUUCACAUCGAGUAUGUUGUUUUCACUGCAUAUCCUUCUAGCGGAUAUGAAUUACCUUUCAUUAUCUUUCACUGGAAAGAUUUUAUCUCUAUCUUCUGCUUUUUCCCCAUGAUCUGGUCUAAACUGCUCACUUCAUGAUCUGGAUUUGAGGUCUUGUUAAAGUGCUUAUUAUAUAUUGCUCUUGGUUGCUGACCAGACUAGAACCUAUUGUAGACACAACACAAUUCAGUUGCAGGACAGAGAAAUUAAGCUGGAAAAGAAGUGGAAGGUCACAGGACCAUAAAAUGCCAUCAGGCAGCUGGGAAAGAAAAGGCAUCAAUGAUCUUACGCAAUGGCAGAGCUUGCCUGCGCCAUGCUGACCUCCAGACAAGAUGUGGCCCACAAGCACAUCAGUGGCAUGACUAUUUCCUGACUAGAUUUGAGGCCUGCUUCAUAACUCAAAAAGACCAUCAAAAUUCAUCAAAAGGCCAUGGCCAUGAAGGUCACAGGCCCUAGAGGGGAACCUGCUAGUGUUAAUUUACUAAAUGUGCAAAUGCUCUGUAAAUAUGUAUGCUUAUACCCACAGGCAAAUGCUGCUCUCAGCCUUCAUCAGAGAGACUUCUUUCUGCAGCCAACGGUGGUAGAUGAAGGAACUCAGGAAGAUGGAAAAGUGUAAGAACUGAUGAUUGGGGGAGGGAUGUGAAAUGCUCUGCUCUAUUCUGAGCAUGACACAGCCACUGCAUUCAUGAACAUAUAACAUUUACUCAGGGAUAUGGGAAGGGCUCAUGGCCUGUCCCUCCUGGGGACUCAUUAGCCCAGGGAAGGGAAGUCCUCAGCUUCAGAAGUGUAGCCACUGGUAUAUCCUCUAUGUUCUAGGGUACAGCUCCACACCCAUGAGCAUGUGGAUGACUCUGGUUAAGCUCGGUUACAAAACAAAAACAGUAGGACAUGACUUACAGGG
rnacentral:lncRNA from 1 species